AUGGCUGAGAACGCAUCUUCGUCGGGUUCAGCCUCCUCCGAACUUGAAGUGAUGAUGGAGGAACUAGCAUUAAAGGAAGAUGACUUGGAAGACGUAGUGAUCGAGGACGGAGAACUUCCGCAGGAGGCAACAAGGUGGAUGGCAAUAGCUAGGGUUCAUACCGAAAAAUCCUACAGCCAGUACUGGUUUUACAAGGGCAUGAGAGUGGCGUGGGAUCUGGCUCAGGAAGUUAAGAUCAGGCCUUUGGAAGAAAACCUCUAUACCCUCCAAUUCUCGUGCCUCGGCGACUGGGAGAGGGUAAUGGAGGAAGGACCAUGGAACUUCAAGGGGAAGGCAGUUGUCCUGGCGCCGUAUGAUGGAUUCACUAAGCCGUUGACCAUUGAGCUCAAAAAGAUUGAUAUAUGGAUUCAGAUACAUGAUCUACCAGAUGGUUACUUUCCCAAGGUUAAAGCCCUGUCUGCAACGGUGGGAGAGUUCAUAUUCGCUGAACCAAAGUCUCAAGAUUUUGAAGGUAAUUUUGCCAGGGUCCGGGUGCGAAUAGAUGUCACGAAGCCUCUGAAAAACGCGGUCUCGCUGGUUGUUAAGAGAAAGGAUGUGGUGGAACGUGUGAUCUUCAGAAUCAAGUAUGAGAGGUUGCCGGAUUGGUGUGCUGUUUGUGGGUAUCUGGGGAAUCUAUACAAGGAGUGUGGCGAUGGUGUUCACCCUCCGAAAGCACUAGUCUUCAAGGACAUAAAAGCAGGUUGGUUUCAGGGCCCUGGCAGAGGCACUAGCGAGAAUGAGAGCCCUAGAGGAGGCUGUGGUCGCGGUCGUUCAGGGCGUGGUGGCGGAAGAGCUGCAGCUGGCCGCGGUGCUUUUGAUGGCCAACCAGUCGCUCAUACUGAGAUGGCUGGUGAUGUGAUGAUGGAAGAUCUAGAUAGAAACAGGAAGAGAACUGCCCUGGCGGACAAACUAGCACAACCACAACAGGCUAGCCUAGCAAACAAGAACCUGCUAGCGCUGCCACCUCCGGUUCCUUCAAGCCCGUCAUCCAAGCAGGAGACAAAGAGAAAUAAACCGAGUCCUUCCACUGCUGAAACAAACAUGGCAAAGAGUGUCACAUCCAGCAAUCCUCCGGAAGGCUAUGCCAAGAUUCAUGUGGACGCGGGCACGCGGAUGCAGAGAGGAGGUUCAGCCGUGGCCAUAUGUAGAGAUAACCAGGGGGCAUUUUUGGGCAGUUCUGCUCUCCUCAUAGCUGGAGUUUGGGACGCACCCACAUUGGAAGCAAUGGCUUGCCGCGAAGCAGUGGCACUUGCUGAAGAUCUCAAUCAACAUAACUACAUCGUGGCAUCCGACUUGCAGCAAUCACUCCCCGAUCCAGAUCCUACCCUAGCCUCCGCCUCUCUCCCCGAUCCAGAUCCAACCCACCUCUCCCCCUCCCCACCGCCUCCCAUCCACGCGCCACAGCGCCAAAGCCCAAGCUGCUCUCCGCCGCCUCCAAAUCUCUCUGCCUCCCCGCCGCCUCCAAAUCUCUCCGUGCGCUGCCGGCCCCAAGAAGGCCGCCAAGCUGCUCUCCACGGCGCCCGCCGUCGCCGUCGCCCGCUCCCCCAAAGCCCGCGCCGCCGGCUUCGUCGCCAGAUUCCUGCAGCACCCCACCAGUCACCGCCUUGCCCGAAGAGCUCAUACGUCUCCCCUCCGCUCCCGGCCUCGCCGUCCCUGUCGAGCAGCGAAUCCUCCCGCCGCAAGACCCCGCCCGAUUCUGGCAUCCUCCAGUGGCGCCCAACACACCACCGUGAUCCCCUCCCUGCCGUCUUCCUCCCCCGCACGAGCCACUUGAAUCCUUCGCAGGUUUCCUGCAGGUCAGUGGUGACUGGGCUGGAGACGCUGCUGCCCCUGCACACCGCGGUGGCGUCGGCGCGCCUCAAGUCCUACAUCGCCAUCGACUCCACCUGCUGGUGCUCCAUCUCCCAAGAGCUGCUCUCCUUCUACCUGAUUGAGCUGAGCCUCGUGGACUACAAGAUGCUUAGGGUUCACCCCCAUCUCUGUUUCUAUCUAUCGCCAUCCUACUUGUUGGCUCUUCAGCAACACCAGAGACCAUUGCGUCUGGAUUAUGUAGUAUUUAUGUACUGCUCUUGGAUUCGUUUUGAUUUCCGCCGGGUGUUUCUGUUGCUGGCUCCAGGAGUCCGGGUGUUUUCAAAGGUUGUAGGGAAGAUCAAAGAUGCCAUCUCAGCCCUGGCAGUAAAGAAGGACUACAAGGACGUGAGGUUCUCCCAUGUCGUCUCCAACGCCGUCGACAUGAAGCUCAGGGAUGACCUUGGGAGGCUCAAGAAGAUCAGAUAUAACCUCGUCGUUCCCUGUUAUUUCCCCCCUUACUAUUGGUUGAUAUAUGACUAUUCAAAUCUUUGGGGUGUUGAUACACUACUGUGCAAGUUCUAUGGUAUGGAGCUCCGCAUCCGAGUCUCGUCCAUCCUCGGCAGCAAGGAGCUGGGCAAAGGGAGCAAGCAGCGCUACUGGUUACUUGGGGCCAGAUCGAGUGUGAAAUGA
rnacentral:rRNA from 1 species